UACGUAGGCAGCAAGCGUUGUUCGGAAUUACUGGGCGUAAAGAGUGUGUAGGCGGUGUUCUAAGUUUGGUGUGAAAUCUCCCGGCUCAACUGGGAGGGUGCGCCGAAAACUGGAAUGCUAGAGUAUGGGAGAGGUAAGCGGAAUUCCUGGUGUAGCGGUGAAAUGCGUAGAUAUCAGGAGGAACACCUGUGGUGUAGACAGCUUACUGGACCAUCACUGACGCUGAGACACGAAAGCGUGGGGAGCGAACAGG
rnacentral:rRNA from 1 species